AUGGACCCGCGGUGCAUUAGCUAGUUGGUGAGGUAACGGCUCACCAAGGCCACGAUGCAUAGCCGACCUGAGAGGGUGAUCGGCCACAUUGGGACUGAGACACGGCCCAAACUCCUACGGGAGGCAGCAGUAGGGAAUCUUCGGCAAUGGACGAAAGUCUGACCGAGCAACGCCGCGUGAGUGAAGAAGGUUUUCGGAUCGUAAAACUCUGUUGUUAGAGAAGAACAAGGGUGAGAGUAACUGUUCACCCCUUGACGGUAUCUAACCAGAAAGCCACGGCUAACUACGUGCCAGCAGCCGCGGUAAUACGUAGGUGGCAAGCGUUGUCCGGAUUUAUUGGGCGUAAAGCGAGCGCAGGCGGUUUCUUAAGUCUGAUGUGAAAGCCCCCGGCUCAACCGGGGAGGGUCAUUGGAAACUGGGAGACUUGAGUGCAGAAGAGGAGAGUGGAAUUCCAUGUGUAGCGGUGAGAUGCGUACAUAUAUGGAGGAACACCAGUGGCGAACGCGGCUCUCUGGUCUGUAACUGACGCUGAGGCUCAAAAGCGUGGGGAGCAAACAGGAUUACAUACCCUGGUAGUCCACUCCGUAGACGAUGAGUGCUAAUCGUUGCACGGUUUCCGCCCUUCAGUGCUGCAGCUAACACGUAACUCACUCCGCCUGGCGAGGGCGAUCGCCACGAUAGAAAUAAAACGAAUUGAGGGGGGCUGCCCCACCAAAAGGAGCAUGA
rnacentral:rRNA from 1 species